rnacentral:lncRNA from 1 species
AGGAGCGACUGGAGUUGAUCGGCUGGGCGCUCAGGCAACUGAACUUCUGAGAAAUGGAGGCUACAAUACCUAGUUUGCCAAACAGGAGAAGACUACAAUUCCCAGAAGGAACUGCGACCAACAUUGGUCCGUGCUCAUACUUUGCAUCAUGGGACUUGUAGUCAUCACCAGCUUGCGCUGAUUCUAACAGGACCUGGACAACUACCCUCAAUUGGUAACAUAUUUUGGUGAGCCAGCCAGAAGGUGGGAUCCUUGAUGGACAGUGCCUAAGCAUGGAGGCAACUGCAGGUUUCUGGCCAGGGCCACUCUCUGGUGAAACUAAAAGGUCCAUGUGGAAGCACCUGACUGCCACCACCUGGUUCAGGAUCAAGUCUGUGAUACCUGAAGCCUCAGACCUGGAACCUGAAGUUUCCUUCAGCCACUACACCUGUGAACCUGUGGAAGACCUGAAGUGCCUGUUUAGAAGACAGCCAAAAGAUAAGUAAAUGCCUACCAACUUUCCUUGGU